UGGAAACAACUAUAAGCUAUAACCAGUUGAUUAUAUGUUUCAUACGUUAUGGGUGAAAGUGUUGUGGACGUUUGAAGUUAUUUUAAUCCGUUCGCUGGUUCUUUACGUUCUUUACGACUAAGGGUCUCCUGUUUACGGCCCCGGAAAACAUUAUUUAAACAGAACAUUUAAACUCGGGCUUGUCAGUAUGACUUAUCGAGUUGGUACUUUGCCCACGACUAGACUAAUCUUUGCUAAACCACUAAGAAUGCGUUUGUUUAUCAAACCGCAAUCCAAUUAAACAUCGCUGAAUAAUGAAACGAACAGCAAACAAAACUGUUACAUAAGAGAUUUUAGUUGAUUUGAAUUUCAUGUAGUUUGUGGAUGAAUUUUAAAGUGAUUUUUACUUAAAAUGCAAUUGAAAGAAAAUGUUGCCACCGUUCUUGUUAUUUUUUGUUGCGGACUUGGGCUUACACAGACCAUAUGCAAAAACAAUGACAAAGAUACUUGUAAAUGUGAUUUAGUUAACGGGUCCGGAGUUAUUGAUAUCACGUUUGGAAAUACAAAUCUGACGGCGUUAUAUCACAGACCAAAUCCACGCGGAGGUCCUUAUGUCUACGAGUAUAAUCCUUGUUACGAAUUCACGUCUAUCGAGGGUUCAGUAUCUGGACUUGCGACCAUCAUGUAUAGCGAAUAUCUGCAUAAUUAUUAUGAUCUUGGUAAACAAAAAAAAGUACUUGGAAACUUGACAAAAACGGAUCUCUGGUUGUGUUUUACACGUCGAACCAGUAUGUAAGCAUUUUAACAUUCACGGUGAAGAUUGUGUGUGAUCCACAGGCCCGCAUUGACAACAUCACAGCACUGGGUUUUGAUGCAACAAUCGCCAAUCAUAACUUCAUACUUUCUGGGCCUGCAUUAUGCCCGAGAAAAGAAUACGGAGUGAUGGGCGUAGGAUACUUUUCAAUAGUUGGAGCAAUUGUUUUAUUAUCCAUUUACAUGGUUGCUCGUCUCUCACGCAACAACGCAAAUGCAGAUGAAAGCAGCAAUGAUUUUGCAACAGAUGGAAAUUCUUGGUUCUCCUCUCUAUGAGAAGGAGAUAUCCGAAACAUGUCAUCAAAUUCAUUCUAUUACGUGCACUUUCAUAACAAUAUAAUAUGAAAGUUCGGGUUUUGAAUAUUCUAAUUCCCUUUAAUUAAUAUGUAAAA